UCAGUAACACGUCGAUAACCUGCCCUAGAAUCUGGAAUAACCAUGGGAAACUGUGGCUAAUACUGGAUAGGGGAUUGAUACUGGAAUGUACUUUCCCUAAAAGCUUCGGCGUUCUAGGAUGGGUCGGCGGCUGAUUAGGUAGUUGGUGAGGUAACGGCUCACCAAGCCAAAGAUCAGUAGGGGCCAUGAGAGUGGGAGCCCCGAGAAGGGUACUGAGACACUUACCCUAGCCCCACGGGGUGCAGCAGGCGCGAAAACUUUACAAUGUACGAAAGUGCGAUAAGGGGAUCCCGAGUGCUUAUACAUUAUGUAUAAGCUUUUGCCAAGAGUAAAUACCUUGGCGAAUAAGUGGUGGGCAAGACUGGUGCCAGCAGCCGCGGUAACCCCAGCGCCACAAGUCGGAAUCACUUUUAUUGGGCCUAAAGCGUCCGUAGCAGGUUUUGUAAAUCUUCUGUGAAAUCGUUGCGCUCAACGUAACGGCUUGCAGGAGACACUGCAGAACUAGGGACCGGAAGGAGUCAGAGGUAUUCUUGGGGGAGCGGUAAAAUGUUAUAAUCCCAAGAGGACCACCUGUGGCGAAGGCGUCUGACUAGUACGGAUCCGACUGUGAGGGACGAAAGCUAGGGGAUCAAUCCGGAUUAGAUACCCGAGUAGUCCUAGCUGUAAACGCUGCGAGCAAGGUGUUGCAUAUUCUUCGAGAAUGUGCAGUGUCGAAGCGAAGGCGCUAAGCUCGCCGCCUGGGAAGUACGGU
rnacentral:rRNA from 1 species